AACGAACGCUGGCGGCAGGCCUAACACAUGCAAGUCGAGCGCCCCGCAAGGGGAGCGGCGGACAGGUGAGUAACGCGUGGGAACGUGCCCUCUUCUACGGAAUAGCCUCGGGAAACUGGGAGUAAUACCGUAUACGCCCUUAGGGGGAAAGAUUUAUCGGAGGAGGAUCGGCCCGCGUUGGAUUAGGUAGUUGGUGGGGUAAUGGCCUACCAAGCCGACGAUCCAUAGCUGGUUUGAGAGGAUGAUCAGCCACACUGGGACUGAGACACGGCCCAGACUCCUACGGGAGGCAGCAGUGGGGAAUCUUAGACAAUGGGCGCAAGCCUGAUCUAGCCAUGCCGCGUGAGCGAUGAAGGCCUUAGGGUUGUAAAGCUCUUUCAGGGGGGAAGAUAAUGACUGUACCCCCACGAAGAAGCCCCGGCUAACUCCGUG
rnacentral:rRNA from 1 species